UCGAGAAUCUUUCGCAAUGGGCGAAAGCCUGACGAAGCGACGCCGUGUGAAUGAAGAAGGCCUUCGGGUUGUAAAGUUCUUUCGCUUGGGAACAAGAAAGAAGGGAGAAUAUUCCUUCGAUUUGAGGGUACCAGGUAAAGAAGCACCGGCUAACUCCGUGCCAGCAGCUGCGGUAAUACGGAGGGUGCAAGCAUUAAUCGGAAUUAUUGGGCGUAAAGAGGGCGUAGGCGGAUAGGUAAGUCAGAUGUGAAAUUCCGAAGCUCAACUUCGGAGCUGCAUUUGAAACUCUCUAUCUCAGAGGGUAGACGGAGAAAAUGGAAUUCCACGUGUAGCGGUGAAAUGUGUAGAUA
rnacentral:rRNA from 1 species